UUCAUAGAAGGUGAUCUGGUGCAGUAAUUUUUUAGUUAAUUAAUUGCUAGUACUUGAAAMCCCAAAUCACUUCGGUCUGCCUAGUUCAGCUUCUCAGAAAAAUAACUGUUCCGAGCAGCGUGUCGACAAAAUUCAACUUGUUUUGAGUUUUGCACAUUAGCGUUCUUUUUUAUCUUGUUAUUUCAACUUGUUGCAGUAUGUGUGACACAUGAUACCUGUUUCAGGAAAACCCAGCAGUUGCUGUGUUUCUGUUGGCUAAACUUUGUAAAACUUCAUUAUGCUGUGUACCUGUGAUUUAUACCACACAUUAUGAUGUGUAUCUGUGACACUGUGAUUUACACCACACAUUAUGCUGUGUAGAUGUGACACAUGAUACCUGUUUCACUGAGACCGAAGUUCCUGCAUUUGAAAUAUGGUUUCACUGAGACCAAAUUUUGUUCUCUUGGCUGGCCCUUAGGCGCCUCUUAAAUCUGGUUUUGCUCUUUUCUGUUAAGUUUGGGUGUGAUUGUCUGAACUUGUUCGUCAGUCUCCGGUAGCCCGCAAGGUGCCUGCUCGCGGAUACAUGGAAGAUCUUCCUAACCGCAAGCCGAUCCAGUUAAGCUGAAUUAUCCAGACCGAAGUGAUUCUGGAACAGUUAAAAUUUACAGUUAAUUCUCUCUUAUCUCUUCUUCUCUCUUAGUGUACUGCUGAUGUUAAAUUUCAGUUAAUUAAUUGAAUCUCCUUUUCUUUGGUUCUUGUUUAUGCAGUUCUUGUUUAUGCGGAGAGGCACCGAGCCAGCUGCUAGUGUCCUGUGCUGCUGGCAGUUGUGAGCACCUUCUUAUCUUUCUUUCUGCUUGUUUAGAAUUGUUGGCUAGAAACAGAACAUUCAUUUUGGAGUACUUCAGUAGCAGUAGUAAAUAUCACCAUUUCGCUUCAAAUUCAGUUGACAAUCACUUGUUCACAUUACUGCCAAAUAUUGAUAGAGUUGUUGCCAAAUUCAGGUUGAUGAGAUGAAUGUGGGCAUCAACCGACCUCAGCAGCAGCUCCAGAAAUAGCCUCCACCUGGGUGUGCCGUGUGCAGCACCACCACCACCAGUAGCAGCAACAGCUCUAGGAUAAGGCCUAAAGGUGGAGUGGAGGAGUGCGUUGUGCAGCAGCAGCACCACCAGUAGUAGCAGCAGCUCGGGAGAGGAGGAUCACCUGAGCCUGGAAGUGGAGGCUCUCGGACCUGGGUGUAGUCUUGGAGGUGGAGGCGCCAGGAUCAGGGUGGAGGUGGACGUGGACGUGGAGGUUGAGGGCGGGGCCGGAGGUGGAGGUCGAGGGCGAGGGCGGACCGCCGGAGGUGGA
rnacentral:lncRNA from 1 species